CGCCGGUGCGAGGUCGCUGAGGAAAGGGCGUGUGUGUAAAGGUCUGUGCGCGGUGGCGUGCAGUACGUGGUGGUUGGUUUCUGCGGUUGCGGACAGGCGCCUCAGCAAGCUGAACCGGGGAGGCCGCGGGCUUCGUCGCCAGACGUCCUUGUAGCUAACUUUAGAGAGCGCUUAGCGGCGCUGGCACUGAGGAAUGGAAAUGUACUGCCAUGCAGUGGAGCAGUUCUUCCUCGGGCUCGUAACAUUACGGAAUUCCUGUUGAAAUGCGAGCUGGACUGGUGAAAACCAGAUUCUCAUAUCGUCUCAUGAGCUGUUUGUCAAGCCUUCCAGGAGGCCCCAGGCAGAGCAAUCCAAUGGAAUCACAUCCUGGUGAACUUAAGAAG